UCUGGCUCAGGACGAACGCUGGCGGCGUGCCUAAUACAUGCAAGUCGAACGGCUUUUCUAUGGAAGCUUGCUUCCACUGAGAAGAUAGUGGCGAACGGGUGAGUAACACGUGGGUAACCUGCCCAUAAGAGGGGGAUAACAUCCGGAAACGGGUGCUAAUACCGCAUAGUUUUCUUGAUCGCAUGAUCGGGAAAGGAAAGACGGCCUUUGUGCUGUCGCUUAUGGAUGGACCCGCGGCGUAUUAGUUAGUUGGUGAGGUAACGGCUCACCAAGACGAUGAUACGUAGCCGACCUGAGAGGGUGAUCGGCCACAUUGGGACUGAGACACGGCCCAAACUCCUACGGGAGGCAGCAGUAGGGAAUCUUCCGCAAUGGACGAAAGUCUGACGGAGCAACGCCGCGUGAGUGAAAGAAGGUUUUCGGAUCGUAAAACUCUGUUGUCAGAGAAGAACAAGUUGGAGAGUAACUGCUCCAGCCUUGACGGUAUCUGACCAGAAAGCCACGGCUAACUACGUGCCAGCCGCCGC
rnacentral:rRNA from 1 species